GAUGAAGAACGCAGCGAAAUGCGAUACUUGGCGUGAAUUGCAGAAUCCCGUGAACCAUCGAGUCUUUGAACGCAAGUUGCGCCCGAAGCCAUUAGGCCGAGGGCACGCCUGCCUGGGCGUCACACGUCGUUGCCCCCCCAUCUACUCCUUCGGGAUUGCGGGGGGCGGAUGAUGGCCUCCCGUGCGCCUCGUCGCGCGGUUGGCAUAAAUGCCAAGUCCUCGGCGACACACGCCACGACAAUCGGUGGUUGCGAAACCUCGGUUGCCCGUCGUGUGCGGUCGUCGCGCAUCGAGGGCUCGAAAAAAUUGCCGGGCUCCGGCUCGGCUUUCAACGCGACCCCAGGUCAGGCGGGGUUACCCGCUGAAUUUAAGCAUAUCAAUAAGCGGAGGA
rnacentral:misc_RNA from 1 species